AUUAUGUUAAAACCAACACCCUGGCCCCUUCUUGCCUCCCUAAGUAUAGUAAAAUAUAACUUGUAUUCAAGUCUGCAGCUGCUGGCUCUGCCUCUGAAUUGACUGUCUGCUGACAUCAUCAGAAGUGGUGGUCUGAGCAAAUUACAAUACUUCCCCAUAGGAUUGGCUGAGACUGUCAACUAGGCAGAUCAGAGGCAGAGCCAGCACAAGUCCAACAUAGCCCUGGCCAAUCAGCAUC
rnacentral:lncRNA from 1 species